GAUGAACGCUAGCUACAGGCUUAACACAUGCCAGUCGAGGGGCAGCAUGGUCUUAGCUUGCUAAGGCCGAUGGCGACCGGCGCACGGGUGAGUAACACGUAUCCAACCUGCCGUCUACUCUUGGACAGCCUUCUGAAAGGAAGAUUAAUACAAGAUGGCAUCAUGAGUCCGCAUGUUCACAUGAUUAAAGGUAUUCCGGUAGACGAUGGGGAUGCGUUCCAUUAGAUAGUAGGCGGGGUAACGGCCCACCUAGUCUUCGAUGGAUAGGGGUUCUGAGAGGAAGGUCCCCCACAUUGGAACUGAGACACGGUCCAAACUCCUACGGGAGGCAGCAGUGAGGAAUAUUGGUCAAUGGGCGCAGGCCUGAACCAGCCAAGUAGCGUGAAGGAGGACUGCCCUAUGGGUUGUAAACUUCUUUUAUAAAGGAAUAAAGUCGGGUAUGUAUACCCGUUUGCAUGUACUUUAUGAAUAAGGAUCGGCUAACUCCGUG
rnacentral:rRNA from 1 species